rnacentral:snRNA from 1 species
AGCUUUGCGCAGUGGCAGUAUCGUAGCCAAUGAGGUUUAUCCGAGGCGCGAUUAUUGCUAAUUGAAAAUAUAUUUUGCUUGGCGGGAGAUGGAGGUAGGAAGGGUCCACUGACCUGCAUUUUAAAAAGCAUUCCCAGUAAUUCUUAUGCAGAUUAUCUGCAUAA